AUUAUCUGCACAACAUUGAUUAUCCUGUGGAAAUUGGAGCUACUUUAGAAUUCCUACAGAGAUGCAUGUUUAAAAUUAACCCUGAUCAAGGGACAAAAGUCUCACGGAAGGAGAAAGGACGCCAGUACACGAUGAAUCCAAGAGUGCUGAGCCUAAUUUCUAAAAUUGCCAACUUUGAAUGGACCGAAUAAAUGAUACGUGAGCUAGAAGUUGACUGUUACCUGUUCUGCGGUGAUGGAAAGACAAUGCCAUGAGCACCAUGCAGUUUGUUUAAUGUUAAUCCUAACGUUCCCUUGUGUUCAUUACAGGAAUGUGUGUAUAUAUAUAUAUAUAGAUGUUUAUUCCAUGAGAGCUAUAUAUAUUGUGUAUAUUUUCCUGAUCUUGUUUUUCUUUGGUAUGUCCAGGACGUUU